rnacentral:lncRNA from 1 species
CACGGCCGGAGCCCGCGGCUGCCUCGGCGAACCUGCCCGCGCGGCGCCAGGGAAGAAUCCGGGCGGUGGCGCGGGGCGCGUGCGCUCGGCGAGGGCGCCCUCUCCAGGGCCGUCUUCAGUCUGCGGGACGGGGCUGAGUGCCUGCUGGCCAGCGAGGGAAGGAAUUGGGGAUGCAGAGACAUCCGUGGGGAGAAACACUUGUCAACACUGAGCCCGAAGCAGGAUUUCAGGAAGGAGGCGGGGAGGCGGGGCAAGCCCCUGCGGGCUCUGGGUUUCCGAAGCAUCUCGCGGCCUCAUCUUGUGCUGAGCCAAUCCUGAGCGCUGUGUAAGCACCUGGGGCUGUCCCCCGGCAGGCUGCCCUGGCCCAGCUUCAGUCUUGUCGUCCCAGGACCGCGCCCACUGGCCAGCCCUCGCCCGAGUGGGCCCUGCUCCCUCGAGCUCCAUCCCAGACCAUUCAGGGGCCCCACCUGCCAUCCCCAGAGUAUAACAUAAUUUCUGCUCAGAGGCCCUGUUGAGGGGCCCUCCCAGAGGGCAGGUGUCCCCCCAGGUGGGCAGGUGUUCCUCCUUCACAGAACAUUACUGAGCACCUACUGUGUGCCAUGCACCAGGCAAGCUCUUUGUAAGCCUCACCACAUUUAAC